AGUCUUACCGCCCUGAAAGUAGCACCUGCAGUUACUAUGAAUGUGAUGAGGAGGAUGGCAAACCAAUCCUGACCAAAGUGAAGAAGAUCUGCCAGGAACUGGAUGUUUCUAAAUGUGAACAGGACACCAUUAAAUAUGAUGAGGAUGGUUGCUGUCAGACAUGCACACUUAAGAAAGAAGUAAUAGUUGAAGAGAAACCCGUGGGAACCGGAGAUUGUAGUUCUCGCAAAAAUGUGACAGUCUUCAGGGAAGAUGACUGCGAGAUUGAGG